CUUCGACCUUAGACCGAGAGCUAAGCCCGGCGCAGGCGCGCUCCCCGCCCCAAUUGCUCUGCUAGAGAGCGCGGCGGGCUGUGGGCGUCCUGAGCGGGAAAAACUCAGUGUGAUGAAGGAUGGUGCUGUAUCCUGUGUCCUUCUCCGAUCCUACUGCUGUCUCUCUGCACUAGGUGAGUGCCUCGCUACCUACAGUAUCCAGAGCACUGAUUUGCCACCUUAACACUGCUCACAGCACCUAUGAUGAUUCCUAUAGGGAGAAACCUAUUUUACAGAUGCAGAAUCUAAAGCCAAACAGCCUUUUUCCCAAGACUACACAACUAAUAAAGACAGCAGUUACAUUUGAAUGCAGGUGUGUCCUAAGUAUCAUUGCCCC
rnacentral:lncRNA from 1 species